rnacentral:rRNA from 1 species
AUUGAACGCUGGCGGAAUGCUUUACACAUGCAAGUCGAACGGCAGCAUAGGUGCUUGCACCUGAUGGCGAGUGGCGAACGGGUGAGUAAUAUAUCGGAACGUGCCCAGCCGUGGGGGAUAACGUAGUGAAAAUUACGCUAAUACCGCAUACGAUCUAAGGAUGAAAGCGGGGGAUCGCAAGACCUCGCGCGAUUGGAGCGGCCGAUAUCAGAUUAGGUAGUUGGUGAGGUAAAGGCUCACCAAGCCAACGAUCUGUAGCUGGUCUGAGAGGGCGACCAGCCACACUGGAACUGAGACACGGGCCAGAGUCCUACGGGAGGCAGCAGUGGGGAAUUUUGGACAAUGGACGCAAGUCUGAUCCAGCCAUUCCGCGUGCAGGACGAAGGCCUUCGGGUUGUAAACUGCUUUUGUCAGGGAAGAAACAGCAGCUCUAACACAGUCUGCGAAUGACGGUACCUGAAGAAUAAGCACCGGCUAACUACGUGCCAGCCGCCGCCGUAA